GCGAGAUGAUGAUAAUUAGUACAUAUAGAUCUUGAGUUGGAACUUUGAAAAAAGCCUUGGAGUAAUUUGAACCAGUUGCACUGUAAAUCGUAAAAGCAAAGCGCCAACCCGUGCACAUCAACAUGGCUUUCUCUUCAUAGUAAUUCGUGCACCUGUGCGAAACCCCUUCUUAAACCCACAGAAACAUGAGAAAAUAUUGGGACAUGAGAUGAGAGAGUGUAGUGUUAGGGACUGGCUAUAAAAGAAGAAGACAAAGAACAGAGCUUUCUCCUCUGAUGGUGUGUGUUAUAUAAAAGGGGUUGUGACAGAAAAUCCUUUUGAAUGCAAUUUUUUCUUUACUCUUUGUCUUUCUCCUUAACUGUGGAAAACCAUUGACACUAAUUAGGGUUCUUACCUACUCAAGUUUAUGGCCAUGGCAUUACUGCUACAUUUUCUCCGUAGCUGGUUUUUUCUUCCCUCAAGGUAACAAAACUACUAGUGUGCUUUUCUUGUAAUUCUACUUAGCAAGCUUUCAUUUGGGUCUCUUCUAUUUGUUCUUUCUUAAACUUCUGAAAAUGGACAGAGUCAGUUAAGCAUAUGUAUUUUCCACCAAAAUGGAAAAUUCAAAGUAAUUCCUUCUUUAUAUCACUUGCUUGUUUUAAUUUAGUCCCACAGAAUCAGAGCUAAAAACAGUAUCUUUACAUUAUUCUACUUGUACAACGAUGGAGAAAAUGGUACUAUAUGUAUAUUUUCCAGUGGAAAACAUUUUCCUCCAUAACAAACGGUUCAAAAUUUGUUUUCCUUUGGUCAUCUUGCUGAUUUUUUGAUAGUAUUUUUCUGAAUGGAAAUUUGAUGAUCUUCUGUCAUGUUUCAACAUGGAUUUUCUCAUGUUCUGUGCGCUUUUCCAAUUAGAAUUCCUUAUUUAACCCAUUAUCUACUGUUAUACUUGAAGUCACUAGCAUAUAGGCAGAGAAGAUUUGUUAUGUGUAAUGUGUUAUCCACCUGUGCCCAACUUGGCUCAAUCCUGUAGAGGUGCUUAUUGUGUGUAUUUUGAGCAAUCAGAGGUUGUAAAAUGGGAAAGUUGGGAGUUGCAGGGCCUGAUAUAAAAUCCGAUGCAAGUAUAGGUGUUAAGCCAAGGUAAUAGUGAACCAACGAGGCAAAAGAAGAGGCGAAACUGCAGUUGUGUUGGACUAGAAGUACUCUGUAUAUUCCAAAUUAAAUUGUUUCUGUUCUGGAUAGAAUCUUCCCCACUUCCCAAAAAGGAAAUUUACUCCAUGAACAAUUCAACAUUUUCAAUAUUCUAGCCAAGAUUACUUUUCCGCACAAAGAAAUUGUCCAGAUUCUUCACAAAGUUAACUUUAUCUACACUUAUUUCAUAAUAUUGAGAUUGUUGAGAGAUCCUUUCCAGAGCAUAAAUAGUAAACUGGAGAUUCCUGUUUUAUUUUCUUCUUCUCGAUCUAUUUUAGAGCGGAGAAGUGGAAAACGCUGGUGCGAGUAGAUGUAUCAUGUAGAAGAAAUGCUUGGGAGUUAUUCUCAAAGCAUAUCUUGUCUACUGGAGAUUUCUUUUUCUUUUCUUCCUUUUUUAUCCAUCUUGAAUAGGAAAAUAAUGAUCUGCUGGGGUGUCACGACCCAAGCCCGUGGCACGUAUUGUCUGCUUUGGACCUAGGUCCGAACGAAUUUGUCUUUCGGGCUACGCCAGAUCGAGCCCCAAAGGUGCGUGUACAAUUUGAACUUGUGUUAUGCCUUUUAAAGCUCUUCACUUUCCUCUCUCAUUCCGAUGUGGGAUUCGCUUAAGGUGGCAUGUGCACACCUUUUUCAGAAGCUUGUCAUCCUAGAAUCCUGCCAGUUCUGCUUGACCCGCCCUCCGUCAUGGCAUCACAAGGGGAAUGGUUCUAGGUCCUAGGUGUCUUAGAUAGAACCUAAACCAAAGGAAAAUUGCAGCAUUUCAUAUUUUUGUUUGGUCUCAAAUAUCAUGUAAGAUUAUCGUUGGCUUUUCGGUAGGAGGAACCUGGAAAACUGGUGAGUGAUUUUGGCCUAGUUAAAUGUGAGGCUAUGCACUAGUUAUACCGCAGAUAGUUUAUCCUGCACUAGAUUGGAGGCCAGUACAUUCUGGAUACUUGAUCAAAUGUAUCUAUAUGUUUUGAAAAUGAAGUGUUCCUUUCUCAACUCUCAUAUUCCUAGUGUUUUGACCUGAUGCCGUUCCUUUAUUUGGUUUCUACUUCUGCAGGACAAGUAGAUAUGUAGGAUUAAAGCUUGCUUCAAACAUUUUGAGGUGUUCAACGGCUAAACCUGGUUGAAUUUACUGUUCCUUUACUUUCCGUGGAACAUGUGAACCCUGAUCUUGUAAGUACAUUGUUACUUAAGUAGGGAAUGAAGCCAUUGGUCCGCGAAGGUUGUCAAUCUUUGUAUUAUGUUGAAAAUACCCAUGGUAGGAUAUAGAGCAGAAAAUUUAGUUUGCAUAUUAAAGCUACUCUGUUUUAUCUUUUCUGAAUUUUGAUAUUUAAUUCAAUUGAGAAUCAACACUCAAUUAGCUUGCCGGUGUGUGAUACUGCAAAAGGAUAAUUUGGUUUAUUACUUUCAACAAGCGUACUGUCUGAGUAGUUUUUGCUCUUCAAUUCAUU
rnacentral:lncRNA from 1 species